UUCUGCUAACACCCCAACCCACCUCCUGCCCGCGCGACCACGACCCCAAUCCGACUCCACCUUCUUCCGUCGGCGCCACCCGAUGACCGCCGGCGCCAUGAAAAAUGAACCGCACGCAGCGACCAAAACAAACCCACGACCCCUCCCCUCCGCUCACUCCCUUAUCCUCUCCACCUCCUUCCUUCAGCCGGGGCCGCGCCCACCCCAUGCUGCACGACGCCCCUCCUCAAGCCCAUCAAUGAGCAGCUCCCCGGAACUUCUCCCCCAGCAACGCGCAGCACCCCGGCGCCCCUCCCCAAGCGCCCUCACCUCCCGCCUCGGGGGUCACCGGAUCCCGACGGGAUCUAGUCGAGGCCUGCUCACCACAGACGGCGGCGUCGCUCAGCCACCACCCAACCCCGGCGACCUCCCGCCGCCUUCUACGCGCACAGUCACUUCCCCGCCAUGACCCAGGCAAGCGCCGCCUCCCACCACGUCCUCCACUCCUCCUACCUCCAGCUCACCACCUUCCCCCAAAUUCUCUCCUCCCCCACGACCUCCCCUCUCCUCCCCCCAUGUCGCCGCCCCGCAGCCUUCUUCCGCUCCGCGCACCGCCGCCUUCCCCCGUGCCGCCGCGCCGCAACCUUCCCCCGCUCCGCCGCGCCACUGCCUUCCCCCGCUCCGCUGCCCCACCUUCUUCCUCCAUGCUGCCGCGGCGCCAUCGCCUGGAUGCGCCUCCGUCGCGAACCUUGCCGGUGUGACGCUGGACCAGGCGACGAGGGCGCUAGAUGGUUCGUACAGCGACGCGGGGCGCACAUCGUGCUCUUCUGCAGUCGAGCGUGUGUGGUGUUGCAGUUCGGAGCGUGCAAUCCCGCAGCUCGGCCCUCCCUUCUCUCUCUCUCUCUCAUCUCUUUCCUUUCUGCUCUCCCUCUCCCAGCUUGAUGUGGACUCCAACAGGCGACGACGAGACCCCCUUCCUCGUGAUGCACUCCGUUUCCCCAGCCGACCCGGCCCCGAGCUCUCACCUCCUCUCUGCAGUGCAGACCGGCGCACGCGCAGUUCGCCCCCUGACGGCGUGCAGUACGGAAGUUGCGUUGCUGCAGCACGCUGGCGUGCGUGCAACCGUGAAGAUAAAAAUCAAAGUGGAAUAUGAAGUCCGCUGUGGCUUGAAUGCAGUCUGUUGUGGAUGCCUUUUUACUCAGAAUUGAUUAUGUGUCUAUUUUCUUUCGAUGCGCUGCAGUGCGCCUCGCCGUGCAGUUCGGUGGUGUUUUUCAGUUCAUUUUUUUUGUUGCAUCUACUGCAGCGAAAAAAUGUUUGGUAAAAGAACAGUUUAGAGCUUUUCCAGACUUUUUUUGUCUGCUUUUGCUGUUCAAUUCCGUCCAACGGGAGGUGUACGCACAUAUAUUUCAUGCCCAGUAUUGCCUUAUGUGAUUUACUUAGUGUUUAAUCAUAUCUUUUUAGAGAUAUAAGCUAAUCAACAGCUAAAUAUAAUCAUUAGGGCCAAUUACCUAAUGGGAGAAUGAUUGCUUCAAUAGGCAUUGGUAGUCUGCUACUCUGCUUUCAAGAGGAAAUGCAGAAGAGACUUCACAAGUUAAGUGGAAGUGAUGGACAACCUCUGGCUUGACAACCUUGUGCGCCUCCUUGCUUACUGUGAUGAAGGUGAUUACUCGUUUACGGUUAUGUCAAACAACAACAUGGCUCCCUACAUAUUUGGUAUGUUCUUUCUUGCCUAUGAUCAGAAUAUGGAUCACAAUAGACCAUUAGGUUCUCUUAUGAAAUUGUUAGUAUUUGUUGUUCUGCAUUCCAAUACAUAAGUGCAGCUCAUUGCUUAAUGAGCUAGAAUCAGGGAAACACGAUAAGUAGCAUGUAGAUAAAGUUUCGGAUAGUAGAACUGAAAAUUUGGACAAUACCUCCAGAGGAAGCUUGUAUGCUUGAUAUGGUUGUGACCAUGGCAAAGCUCAUGGACGAGGAAUUAUAUCCUCAGGUUAUCGUAUUAUAUGGUGGGUGAGCUUCAAAAUUUUGUGAAAUAACAUUUCCAAUAGUUCAGAGAUGCUACUUUACUGUAAGGAUUUAAGUGUAUGGUCUCUGUUUUAAAUUCCUAAUACAAGUAAUGGACUCUGGGAGGUUUUGUUUAUCCCAUGUCCUUGCUGUUAAUAGCUGAUAUAAUUUCAUCGUGAGCACCCAAAUAUUGCAGCUCUAUUGUUGUUCAUGGCUGUUGGCCUAUGGCCUACAGAAAGAGUUAUUAGUAGUAACCUCGUGCAUUAUGUGCUGGACUGUAGUGGUGCCGCAUGCCCCUUGUACUAUUUUCAUCAUUGACAGAUGCAGGUAGCUAAUUAUCACUGCAAAAUGUUGUGGCUACAGUUUUUGUCUUGUUAAUUCUGCAUUCGCCCCUUUCUGAUAAAGUGUUAAUUCUGUAUCAGUUAUAUCUAAUGUUUUGUGCAUAUGCGGAGAAGCAUGUCUAAUUGGCCUCAGGUUCAGAACCAUAUUACACAACAAGCAGUUCUCCUUGGCAAUUAAUCACAUGGAAAACUUGCGUUAGUUCCUUAGAUGAUAAUCCUGAUGUUAAACACGUGUCCUGAUUAUUUAAUACUCCCACAGUGUGCUUCUGCCAUAAUGCCUGAUUUGCUCAUAUGGACAGUAUUGACUAUAGAUCUAUGGAGCCGUGCAUAAGUUGCUAAGAUAGCUCGUUUUUUUCUUUUCUGGAUUUGGAAACAAUUAGUAAUGGGUAGCAUCAUUGCUGAAACAUUAUGGAUGUACUACAAAUAUUGUGCAUUGCAACCACAUGGUUAUCUUUAUAUCCCUAGACUAGGUACGCAAAAGUAUUUAUGGUUCUGGUACAACUUUAGGUCCUAAUAAUCUACACUUACAAUUAAUAUGUCUUUCAAGUAAAUUUAACAUCUUGUUAUCUCAUACGAUCAUGGUACAGCCAUAUUGCAUAUAAAGCUUUUGGCAAUUCAUGAAAAUUCCUUACGGUUCUUUUUUAUGUGCAGGCCAAUCAAGAACGCAUGUCAAACACUAAUAUGCAGAGUCGGCCAAGGGAAUAUUGAGUCGUAAGAAGUACUACAAGUGGGAACAUGUUUAGUUUUUCUGUGAUUACCUUUCAGAUGUGCUACCAUACAUGGGACACCCUAAGAUGCAUGUGUUAUAGAACAUGGAACUCCCUAAGGUGUGGAGCUAGAAGAGGUGGUGUUGCCAAAGGCAGUGCCAGCUAAUGCACGGAUGGCUAAUGAAGCCGAUCACCGCUAGCAGCUAGCAUGUAUGCAUCAUAUUACCACAGAUGUCGAGGCACAGCUUGCUGACGGAACCAAGCAAGUCAACCAUUGCAAUCUGAAUGCAAAUAUUAUCGAACAUGGGAUGAUAUGUAUAGUUUUGUAGCAAUACACAUGCGCUUUGGGAUGUAAGUUUAAGCAAUGAACAUGUACUUUGGGAUGAAAUGGAUAGGUGAAUGAAGAAAUAUGAAAAAAAAACGUAUGUCCUCAAGUGAAAUGAUUAUC